GGUUGUGGCUCAGUGGUAUAGUACUUACCUGGUAUGUGGGGGGCACUGGGUUCAAUCCUCAGCACCA
rnacentral:tRNA from 1 species